rnacentral:lncRNA from 1 species
GGUACUUCUAAAAAUAACUUAUUAUUUUUACUUCUUAUUAUAAAAAUCAUACAUGGGACAUUUAGAAGAUAUAGGAGAGCAAAGGUAAGAGAAUUCACUGUGAAUUAAUUAUUCAUUGAACACCUAUUUUGUGCCAUUGACUAUCCUUAUUGCUGGGAGCACAGCGUUUAAAAAAAAACCAAAAACCUUUCUCCCACUCUAAUAGAUGAGUCACAUAAUGGGAAAACAAACAAAUGUAUCAUCUAUUAAAGUGGGAGAACUUGGUUUUGUAGUUUUAAAAGUAUUGUCAUAGAACCAACGAUACUGCUUGCAUCUAUACACCAUGAUUAGAGAGGAAGUGGAUGGAGAGUGUGUGUGUCUGAGAGAGAGAAUAUUUAGAAUGCCAAAAGCGGGCACUUCAAGGAAGGCUUUUUUUAUUUAAAAAAAAUUAGCUCAUUCUACAUACUUUAGAAAUUACCUUUGAGUAGCAAAUGUUAAGGAUAUAAAUACUUUGCACGUAUAUUCCUUGUUUAUAGUUAACCAUAUGUUAUUUUUUACCUGCAAAAUACUAAAACAUAUUCUACCUACGUGCAAUCUAAGUUUUGUAGCAGAGUCUUUUUACGGGGGCCAAACAAUUCUGGACUAAUUUUUAAAACCCUGAAAUGGCUCACUGUUUUGAGGUUAUUUUGAUGGAGUAUGAAUUUACUUCUUUGUCAUUUGGAGAAGGUGCACAGUAUUAUUAUGAACAGAGAAGAGCUGUAUGAAAACUGAUCUUCCAGCAUCUAUCAUCUCCUUUUAGUCUAAUGAGAUACUGCCAUUAUCUCCUGAUGAAAUAUUGUUCUAGAAAACCUUACCCCAUCAUACGAUUUCUGCAGAUCUUACAGGAGCAAUCUGAGCUCAAGCAAUAUUAAUUACUGUUUCAUUUGUCCAUUUGUCUGUGUAUAAUCAUGUAUUUUAAUGAUCUUCUAUUUUCUAUGGUUUGUGUAGAUUUGGAGACUAAUUCAAAAGAGUUGAAGUUUUUUGGACAUGUUUAGUUGAAUGUGCAGUUCUCUUUUGAAGAAUCCUGUCUCCAAAUCCUGUUUUGAAAAGAGUGUUGAUGAGUAGCACAGCACCUGUCAUAUUGUGAGUGUGCAAUAAAAUCAUGCCUUUUCACAAGACCAAAAA